UUGCUUUGGCAGCACAUAUACUAAAAAUGGAAUGAUACAGAGAAGAUUAGCAUAGCCCUUAUACAAGGAUGACACUCAAAUUAGUGAAGCAUUCUAUAUUAAA
ensembl:snRNA U6 U6 spliceosomal RNA